AGUCACCUGCAGGGUAUAUGCUUCCAUGUCCCUUCAAAAUAUAAAGCCUGUCUUUCCUUCAAAUGUGAAGGAAGCUGCAAAUAUGCGUCUUCUUUUUUGUGCGAGAAUGAAUUGGAAGAUGGUUUCGAACAGGAAAGCAGAGGACUUGGCAAAACUCCCCAUCCCUGCAAGACAAGCAAGGCCACAACAUAGCCUUUCGAACUCACUCCAGCAAUGACGCCUUGGCAGUUGGAAGUGUUUGGUGUCGAAGAAUAAUGUCCUCACUCCUUAUUUUGCACAAACACUACCCAGUGGAUGGUACCUGCUCCUACUGGCCUUUAUUUCUGAAACUCCUGGCCCUACGGUGAGAAGAUGGAAUCAAAGCAAUGAAAACUUUUUUUUAAAAACAUGGAAUCAAAACAAGGAAAAUUAAAAUCUCAGACCAGCAAGCCAUGUAAAAGAAAGUAACAAA